CCCUAAUUCCAGAACCCUUAACACUACGCAUACGGUGGCCUCUCCCUUCUCUCUUUCGUCUAUGUUGCUUCGUCCACUACGCUUUCACACUUCAGCAUCGCUGCCUCCAACGAAACUGAAGGUUCCAAGCCACACACGCGCUUUCUUCCCCAUAGUCGCUUCCUCACGUCAUGGAACCACGUUUUGCCGACGUUGUUUCUCCAUAGUCGCUGCCCCUGGCCUGUGCGAUGACCUCCGAUCCUCUUUCUCUCCGACGACAAUCUUCUCCAAUGAUAUCUCAUCCAGCGACGACCUCCUUCGGCGACAUCUCUUUCAGCCGCGAUCUCCUUCGGUGACGUCUCCUUCAGCUUCCUCUCCUUGUCGUCCUAACUAUAUGUCUUCUCCGCGAAAAUCUUUAACGCCUCCCUUUCGUUCUGGAUAUGGCAGCCGCAACAUCAUUCUAUCAUAUGUGCUACUGUGCUGUGAAAUUCUCCGAUGGCAUUCUCCUACGUCGGGAAUUUCGUCCAUCGAGCUACUGUGCUGUGAGAUUCUCUUUCGGCAGACUCACGAGGUAGGUUCUCCCUCUUUUCCUUUGUUCUCUUGGUUUGCACUUGAUCUGUGAUUUGAUUUUGCUGAAUUCAAAUGCUCAUAUGUGAUUAUUGCAUCUGAAACUUGAUCUACUCCUUUUUUAUUUUAUGGUUUUGAUUUUCAUUCUUUAAUCCUCUUCAAGGUUGGAAUUAAUUUUGUUUGUAGCCCCAUUCUUGUGUUCCAUUGUUGAAUUUCAGUAAUUGGUGGUGUAUAUUUAGUGUAUAUUUCACUAGGUCUCGCAGCUGGUCAUAUGUCGAAAGACCCGGUCUUCUCCUACUAGGUGCCUUGUUGAUUGCUCAGCUGUGAUGAUAUCAAAAGAUGCUGCUCUCAUGCUUUGAACAAACUUCAGGAUCAUUAUGGUUGGAAGACCAAUCCAUUUGAUUUAUUUGAGACUUUUUUGGGCUAAGUAUGGGUGGCUUUUGUCGUGGCAUGGAUUCUACUGGAUUUGGAACAUGUCGAAGUACUGUUACUAAGGGUCAAGACAUCCAGUAUGAUUUCUCCUUGACAUUUUCUGAGGCAAUUUUCGAAAUAGAGAAAGAAUUUGACCUUUCUCAUUUGGAAACAUGUGAAGUCUGUAGUGGUACUGGAGCAAAGAUUGGCUCUAAAAUGAAAAUAUGUUCAACUUGUGAUGGGAGGGGUCAGGUGAUGAGGACUGAACAAACACCUUUUGGAUUGUUCUCAUAGUAUUAGGUUUCAGUUUGCUCGACCUAUGGAGGUGAUGGUGAAAUCAUAUCUGAAUACAGGGUGCAACAGUGAGGAAUGCAGGGCCAUACAUAGAGAGACUGAAGUUGAAUCAAGAAAGAGAGAAAUUGGCAAGUAAGGUUAUGGAAAAAAUGUCUGAAAUAAUUAUCUAAUCUAUUGUCAUUCUACAACUCAAUGGGCCAAAUUUGCAAUGAAGUUUUGAAAAUUAAGAUUCCCAGGCUUGAAAUUGUCAAUGAAAAUGAGUGUGUACCCAUGAUUUUGUUGACCAUGGUUGGUGUAAAUGUAUUAAGUUAGGUGUGUACUUUUAAAUGUAAAUUAGGUGACGUGCUCUUUAUUUUUUUGGUUGGGUUUUGAUGUGUAGAGAAAAUUAAAUGAUGAGAACCAAUGUAUAAUAUUUAGAUAAAUUUGGAAUAAAAAAAGUAAUCAAAAUAGAGUUUAUUUUCUA